rnacentral:rRNA from 1 species
GCACUGUGUUUUAUAGUGUUAUUUUUUUGAGCUUUACGCCGACUAUCAGAAGUAGAGCCUUUUGUUCUAUGGAUAGGAAAGUUUACACUUUUUUUAGCAGCUUCGGCUUUUAGUUAUUUAUUCGCAUAAAAUUCUAUAUAUAAUACAGAUAAUGACUAUUUUAUAUAUAUUUGUCUUGACUAAAACACGUGCCAGCAGUCGCGGUAACACGGGACAGACGAGUGUUAUUCAUCUUUAAUAGGUUUAAAGGGUACGUAGGCGGUAAAAAUUAGUUAAUAGUAUUUUUUACUAGAGUAUUAUGUAAGAGGAGUUUAGUACUAUCAGAGUAGAGAUGAAAUUUUUUGAUACUGUAGGGAACUGGUAUAAGCGAAGGCAGGCCUUUAUGUAAAUACUGACGUUGAGGGACGAAGGCUAGGGUAACAAACAGGAUUAGGUACCCUAAUAGUCCAUGCAGAGACUGAUGAGUGUCAUAGGUCAGAAAAAAAAAUUAUUAAUAAUUUGAGUUAUUAGUACUAAAUCUAAUAAUAUUUAAAUAAAAACUAACUAAUUUUAUUAUAAAGUAAAAUAAUUAAGGAUUUUUAUUAUUGGUUUAUAAAUGAAAGUGUAAACACUCCACCUUAAGAGUAAUGCGGCUACGUAGGAACUAAAAUCAUUAGACCGUUUCUGAUACCAGUAGUGAAGUAUGUUGUUUAAUUCGAUGACCCUCGAAAAAUCUUACCACAAUUUGAAUAUUAUAUCAUCUUUUGUCAAGUAAUACAACAAGUUUUGUUAAAUUAUGAAAAUGGUAUAUUACAGGUGUUGCAUGGCUGUCUUCAGUUGAUGUUGUGAGAUGCUGGUUAGAUCCUAAGAAUCAAC